rnacentral:lncRNA from 1 species
AGUUCAGUGAGCAUUCGGUGAGUGAAGAUCGUCAAGAGCGGUUGAGCAGUGUUCGACAAGGGAGCCUUCGAGCUCCCUUGGUAGCUCGAAAUAGUUCAAGAUAGGAAGAUGGAAGUGAUAAGCUCCUACUAAGUUUGUGACUUGUUGAAAGUUUGUUGGAUCUGUUCUGAAGUGGGAACGUCCCAAAAAGGAAGUGUGAAACCGUUCGACCAGUGCCAAGUGAUAAGCGAUAAAAAUUUGGGGAGCCUCAAUCGAGGAAAGAUCGAGUGCCCUACCGGGGACGCAUUCGCAAGGACGUCUCUUCAGGAGCCGCUGGGAUUCGAAAAGAGGAGCUCAGCGACGUCACGUAUCCGCCACUCACGAAGAGGUAACUAGAUGCGACGCGGCGAGUUGCCAUCGAAGCAACCCGACAGACGGUGCGCCGAGUUAUCCUCUGGGGAAGCCCCGCCCUCCUACGUCAGCCGGUCUACUGCGAUUUGGCGAACCGAGGGGCCUCUUCAUCAACCGACCCACCCCCCCGUCACAGAGCCAAGGGACACGGUUCACCUACAAAUGUUCAACUUCAGUGCGGCUGCCUCCGGCCUUGCAUCCCCAAGACUUCAACGCGGGACAGCUUUGGAACGCUCUGCCCCAUGGAUCCGGGGUGCUUGCAGGGCUAUUGGCGCCGAUAAACGAAACAGAUACCGCCGGUGUCAGCAGGAGCUAAACGGUCUAAUUUCUGCGGUUCCCGAAACUACUAAGGUGAUAGAUCAAUCGUCGUCGAACAAAAGGCUUAGUCUGUUCCGACAUUCCAGGGUUUUUUCUCCCCUUUCGCAUGCAUUUGCGAUACGAGAGAAAAACGUGCUUCGUAAUCGUUUUCGAUUGUGAUUGUCCCCCCUCAUACAAUGAGGAUCCGAAGGAAGAAGCUUCGCCAGCACAAAAGAUCCCACAAUUGUGUGCGCCAGCACAAGGAAUACGUGAAAUGUCAGCAACAGUUCAAUUUACUGCGCUCCAGCCCCGUAGUUGUCGGAGUCGAACCGGGUCCCAGCUCCCGGUCCCAGUUAUCAUCGUUUUGUGGAAGUUAGCUGAAACUGCACUUUUUCCCAUCUCUCCGGCUGGCUCCGGGAAGGCAACAGCCAAUGUAUGCACCAUUAUUCCAGGAGGAAGUGCCAAAUCGAACAACGGAAUGCCAUUUUUCAUGGCUCGAUUUCCUGACUCCUGGAUUCGGCAGGCAACCGAGAGCUGCGGGAAAAAAGAUGAACGAACGAACGAAUCGAUUGGGACAAAGAGCUGUUUUGCUCGGAAUUGGUUCACUGCGGCAACUUGACGACAUUUUUCAAUUUCCAACCAUAAAUAUUUCAUCUUUUUCCAAUUCAUUACGGCGAGUGGUUUGCUCGAUGGUACGAGAAUCAGCGCAUUUUGUCGUUUGUCGGAGUUUGCUUUAUCUUGUUUUCGUGUGGUUUGGCUUUCAAAUUUUUAGCUGUUAAGGAUUAAUUCACCCAUCGUUUCACUAGAUUAAGUAUUUUACUUUUCACUUUCACCCUAGAUGUAAGCGUUUUAUGAGUGCCUUUCUACUUUACCUUUAAUUCUAUUACUGAUUACGUUUUUCUAACUUUUUCUUGGAUCGCAAUGCCUUUUGACUGACAGUUCAAGCGUUUGUUAUAGCAUCGUUAUGCCUGUUACCCGUUACUCGUUAUCCACGCCGACACUAACCGUUCGUUACCGCACUUUCGUUUUGUUAUUGUUUUGUUUGCCCCUCACCCCGUUACCACUGGAAACCACCCGCAAUGGAUCCCCUUCGGAAGUGUUUGUUAUUUGUUGAACUAAAUUUCAAAACUCCUUCGCCGAUUGGUGGAAUCCGUUGGAUUCCAACGAUUGGCGAAUGUCGGUUUUGAAUACUCCGAUUUUGGAAUCCAUUGCGUCGGUUGUGGCAUCACAGUAGCCCGUUAAGUUUUUGUUUCUGUUACACCUUGUCUGUUUUCGAUCUGUUCUUUGUUGGAGUCACCGCGUUACUAUGCUCAAGCGUUACGCAACCUUUUUCGCCAUCUUUCGGGAUGUUGCGGAAUCGGAUGAGUGCUGCUUGGGAAUACCGUUUUGUUUGUUUCCGUUUUUUGUUGAUUAUUGUUAACAUUUUGACACGCUUCUGAACGUAGUUGCCUGUUUACGUUAGCGUUCAGAACGUUGUCAAACUGUUGUGUUUCUGUUUUGUAUUUAUUUGUUACUUUCGCAUGCUUUGUUUUCCCAAAUUCCCAUUCUUGUUCCGUUUCUGUUCACCCUCUUAAGUUUCCGUUCAAGUUUUUGUUAAGUUUCACCUCAACCUGUUAUUGCCUGAGCUGUCAGUGGGCAAGCAUUGCUCUCCUCUCUUUUAUCUUACAACUUUAUUGUGCUUAGGUUAGGAUAAAAAAAAUCUGUGCUAAAUUUCUGCUGCACCUUCUAUACGUAAAAAAUUCUACCAAUUUCGCCUUGCGUGACUUUGACAAUAAUAUUUGUUUUGCUCCUAAAUUUCACCGACAAAUGCGAACUGAGACCAUACCACAAAAACCACUCUGUCAGCAAAAGAAAACCGAAAAAACACCAAUCACAACGUGCAAACGCUUCAAACUGAAGCGAAAAUCCCCCGUCAGAUGAGAUUAAGCCAAGAUCUAUCGCAUGCCCUCGAACCACAAGACCCGAUAAAACUUUCUCUUUGACACCACCCUACAACAAGCAAAUCACAAGUUCAAACCAGAAAAACCCGUAGUAGAAAAACUGCAAUUGCAAAACUUUUGCAAUUUCGCAACCAUCUCCCGUGGAAGAGCUUCAGACUGAAAAAAAGUUGAACACAUACCAAGACGCAUUUGUCACCGUUACCUUCCCAUCCCCAUCAAUCCCGCACUAAACCCCCAACCCACCAAUAAUUGUUGUCUGUUGAUUCAGGUUGUUACACUUGUUAUUGCUAUAUUUGUUAUCUAGUUUUAAGAUCGAGACGCGCGAUACCCGAACUUGUUAACUAGUUUUCCUAAGUGUUACAGAAUGUUUUAUUCGCCCCCCUCAAAAGGAGCACACACACAAACACAUAUCGUUGUGACUUUUGACAGUUGAGUGAGUGGAGGAGCCACGUGCUUCUCGUUGUUUUCGUUACCAUAGUUACCCGUUCAGGUGAGAAGCCAAAAGCAGGAAGAAAAACCCGCGCGCGCUGUUAAGGUUAUGUUUAUAUUAUGAAAAGUUUGUUACAGAAAUCCCCGUUCGUUACCCGUACAAAAACAAAAUACAAAACCCGAUCGUUACCGAAAGAUUGUUAGUUUGUUAAAGUUUUCUUGUUAUGAAUCCGUUCAAAUCAGCAUUGUUAUGUUUGUUUUGGUUCUAGCGAAGACACGAGCCGUUGUUUACGUGGUCAGGAUAAUUUUGAAUCUUUCUUUCUAGUAGGCUAGGUUCGAUUUAGAGUGUAAUGUUUCAAGAUUUUUUUUUUGGCGUUAGGUUCUCAAUUUUUCUAAAUUUUUCUUCUUAUUCUUAACCAUUUUUGUCAUUCAUUCAACUAACAUUAAAAAUAACAUAUUUACUUUAAGCUUUUCAUUGUAUAAGAAUAAUCUUAAUAGUUAAGCAACAAAAAUAUACUAACUUAUAACAUGUUUGAACCACAAAAAAACCUAAAAUAUUUGGAUUGAGUGUGAAUAAGAGUGAAUGGAAGUCAUUGAAUAAAACAUUAAAACAAAACCCAA